UAACAAGGUUUCCGUAGGUGAACCUGCGGAAGGAUCAUUGUCGAGACCCGAACGGACGAUCGCGAACCCGUAAACGGUCCUGCAGGGGCGGAGGGAGGGCGGAUAUUCCGACCGCUCGACCUCGUACCUCGGGGCACCAUGGCCGCCCCCGCCCCGCACCGCUGCGGGACGGGCGGCGGGAACAACACCCGGCGCGGUGGGCGCCAAGGAACAGUGCUGUCGGAGAGCGUCGCGUGCCGGUCUCGGCGCGCGGCGCGAUCCUUCCAUACGUCGAACCUUUACGACUCUCGGCAACGGAUAUCUUGGCUCUCGCAUCGAUGAAGAACGUAGCGAAAUGCGAUACUUGGUGUGAAUUGCAGAAUCCCGUGAACCAUCGAGUCUUUGAACGCAAGUUGCGCCCGAGGCUAUCCGGCCGAGGGCACGCCUGCCUGGGCGUCACGCCUCGCGUCGCUCCGCGCACCCCGUCCCCCGUCCCGGGGAGGCGGCGGCUGCGGAUGCGGAGAUUGGCCCCCCGCGCCUGACGGCACGGCGGGUCGAAGUGCGUACCGCCGGUCGGGACGGACGCGGCGAGUGGUGGACGGACACGUACGGCGCUGAACGUCGCCUCCGCCCUCCGGCCAUGGCGGUACAUGCAAGGAACCCACGCCGAGCAUCCCUCGGAAAACGACCCCAGGUCAGGCGGGGCCACCCGCUGAGCUUAAGCAUAUCA
rnacentral:rRNA from 1 species